GCUAAAAACCUAGCCCAAACCUCCUCCUACAUACCCAAUUACCCAUUAAAAUAUUUUAACAUUUGAGUAGGGACGACCGAAAAACUUUCAAGAGCUAUAAUAAAGUACCGCAAGGGAAAGAUGAAAUAAUAAUGAAACACCACAAAAGCACAAAAAAGUAAAGUUUAUAGCUUGUACCUUUUGCAUCAUGGUUUAACUAGUUUAACUAAGCAAAAAGAUUUUUAGUUUAACCCCCCGAAACCGAAUGAGCUACUUCAAGGCAACCUACUGAGCUAACCCGUCCCUGUUGCAAAAGGGUGGGAUGACCUUGUAAUAGCGGUGAUAAACCUAACGAAUUCGGUGAUAGCUGGUUACUCAGGAAAAGAAUCUUAGUCCAACCUAAAGUUAUCAAAUAAAAUAUACUACUGCUUUAGAGUAACUCAAAUAAGGUACAGCCUAUUUGACACAGGACACAACCUCAAACAAUGGCUAACUCACAACACAUUUAAACUAAGUAGGCCUAAAAGCAGCCACC
rnacentral:rRNA from 1 species